GGGGUGGUAUAAUGCCACUUUUACAAGAUGUAAAAAAAGUCUCUGAUGUUCCCAGACUGUGCAUGUGAGGUUUCAGCUCAAAAUACCCUACAGAUCAUUUUUUAUAGCAUGUUAAUUGCUUUCUGAGGGUAAGCAAAAAUUCACUUUCAGAGGGUAAGCAAAAACGCUCUGUUUUUGUGUAUUUUUGUGUCCCUUUAAAUGCAAAUGAGCUGCUGCUCUCAAAAGGGGGUGGAGUUUCAGGAGCUCAUGUUAGCACUCAAGCAGACUCACUGAAAAUGUCAGAAACUGUUCAGCCUUUUAUGUUCAAAACGGAGUCGGACAAUGAUGAAGACUCAAGAAAAAGUGACAACAUUUUGAAUGCAACAGGACGCUUCUGAACGAAACGGACAGAAUGGAGGAAACAGGACACAAACAGCUGUGCUACUGCCACUAAGAAGAAUAACAUCGACACAGUGCUCUUUUGUGUCGCCCAGUGCACCUGUUUAACUAGGGGUUUGCUUUCAUUGCCAGCGCUGGAGUCUGUGAUGUCCUCCCUUGUCGCUGAGGGGAUUUUUAGGGUGCACCUGCAUCCUAUUAACACACACAAGCAGAACAGGAGAGUGUGAAGUAAUUGAGGAUUUUGGGACAAAUAGUGUUUUUUUUUUUCCCAUUUUGCUUGGCAAUAUAUCUGACUGAAAUGAAUGGAUGGUUUUAUGUGGUCAGGUGUGGUGCAGAGGAAUAACCAAAUCAAAGCCUCAACUUCAUAUUAUUUCUAAACCAAAUUUUAUUAAGAAAUUGUAUUUUUGCACUUACGAGUGGUUGCUAAGGUGUUUAAAAGUGGUUGCUAAUGUGUUCUAAGUGGUAGCCCACUCCUAUGGCUCAAUAACCAAGUCUCUGUUUUGAAAAGAAGAGGAGAUGCUACACCAUGGUAAACAUGCCCCCAUCCCAACUAUUUUGAGACCAGUAGCAGGCAUCAAAUUUGAAAU